CACCUUUUGAUUUUGAUGAAAGUGACGUGUACAUGUCGUCUCAUGAGCAUCGUUUCCGCCUCUUCAGCUCAGUGGAGUAUGAAGGACAGCUGUACAUGACUCCUCAGAACUUCAUCGAGUCAGUCACCAUGAGCGAACCCCGCAUGAAGAAACCUUGGAGGUCCCUCACCAAACAGGAGUUGGAGAAGAUCUUGUCCGACACUCCACCAGUGUG